GAGUAACAGCUGGACUAGAUACCUGAAUGGUUGCCUCCCAAGCUGGUAUUUUGGGCCGCAAUCAAAACCAUGUUCAGUGGUGUAUCACGUCUGUGUAAAAUGGCAUCGUGCCUUUCAAAUUUUGCAGAAACCAAGUGUUCUGUCUACGAUACAAUGCAGGAGAUGAUCAAUCAUGUUUAGAUGAACGUCUGAACUGUAAACUGUGAUUCUAGCAUCUUUUUGCGUUGCUGGUUGAGCUGAUUAUUGAUAUCAGACAAGGUAGUUUUGACCUUCCAUCUAUCCUAGGUGAUGCAUGGCUUGGAAUUUGUUAUAUGGGAACAUCGGCAAGAAAGACAACAUUUGAACAAAUGCAAGGAAUCCAUCAAGUACGAGAAGCAUUUACUAAAUCUCUCAACAUACUGCUAUUUUAUUCAAAUUGUGAUGAAGGAAUAUUUGAAGUGUUGAGGGGCCUUGGUGGUACAUGUGGCAUGAAAAUUGAUGAGGAGACUAUAGAUGAGAAGGCCACUAUGCUAAAACUAAUAGCAAGGAAAGCAUAUACUUGGAGAGAUUAUGCCAUAGCUAAAGAUUUGUUCUGCAUGCAAAUGGAAGUUGAAGCUGCUACAAUGGUUUUACAGUCAGUACAAAAAGCUAUUGGUAUACAGUUGUUUGUUUGUAUAUGGAUGAUUAGGUGUUAAGUGGGAAGAUAAUGUUGACUGCGUCAUGUGAGAAAACUGUGCCAAAAUAUAUUGUUAAUUGUGUGUGUGUGUGUGUGUGUGUGUGUGUGUGUGUGUGUGUGUGUGUGUGUGUGUGUGUGUGUGUGUGUGUGUGUGUGUCAAGGCUUAUGGGAUUGGGAAGUUUUGUUGGUAUCGAUUAUGUUAUUAAUCAGAUGUGACCAAUAGUAAUUUUAUCUCUGUGCUUCAGCGCUGCACGACAUCGGUUUGUGUCAGAUGCAUCUCUCACAGUUGGAUGAAGCUGAGGAAACAUUUACUGAAUCACUGAGAAUUGCUCAAUUUCCGAGACCAGAAGAGCAUGAAGGUUUACAGAUAUGAGAUCUGGCAACACGUUCACUAUUUUGAGAGACAAACGUUGAAUGUAAGAUUAGCAGCAGGAUCGAACUGAAACAGCACAAUGUGGUAUAGACACUGACAUAACAAGCAAUUUUAAUUCCCUAUUGAAAGUAUAUCUGCCUGAUUAUAUUUUUAAAAUUUUGUAAUUUGUAAAUUAAUAUAUUUUAUCAAUAUUAUUAUUAUCAAACCACUUGAAACCUCAAUUGACUGUUUUGU